rnacentral:hammerhead_ribozyme from 1 species
AUCCAGCUAACGAGUCCCAAAUAGAAAGAGACGUGCGUCCUGGAU